GAUGAACGCUGGCGGCGUGCUUAACACAUGCAAGUCGAACGGAAAGGCCCAAGCUUGCUUGGGUACUCGAGUGGCGAACGGGUGAGUAACACGUGGGUGAUCUGCCCUGCACUUCGGGAUAAGCCUGGGAAACUGGGUCUAAUACCGGAUAGGACGAUGGUUUGGAUGCCAUUGUGGAAAGUUUUUUCGGUGUGGGAUGAGCUCGCGGCCUAUCAGCUUGUUGGCGGGGUAAUGGCCUACCAAGGCGUCGACGGGUAGCCGGCCUGAGAGGGUGUACGGCCACAUUGGGACUGAGAUACGGCCCAGACUCCUACGGGAGGCAGCAGUGGGGAAUAUUGCACAAUGGGCGCAAGCCUGAUGCAGCGACGCCGCGUGGGGGAUGACGGCCUUCGGGUUGUAAACUCCUUUCGCUAGGGACGAAGCGUUUUUGUGACGGUACCUGGAGAAGACGCACCGGCUAACUACGUG
rnacentral:rRNA from 1 species